AGAGACAGCAGUAACACCUUCUGGCUAUAGUCUAUUUUCAUCUUUCUCAUCCUAGUGUUAUCAAGAGAAAAACAGUCUUAGAUGCAACAUAAAAAUUUCAGAGACAGAAGAAAUCUUCCUUUGAGGGCAGGUUGUGUGGUGGUCCUUGAUCUUGUCCAUCAAGUCCUUUUUCCCAAAGGAUAACUGAAGAAGAUCACAUACAUUCCAACUUAUUGAGUCUGAUAGGUAUUCAUCUGAUGAGCUCCUCUUCAACUGAGGAUUGAAAUGCUGUUUUUCUUCCCUGGUACAAUGUUAAAGCUUUAAACUCUUGUCAAUGAUGUGAUGUUUCAUCUGCAAUGAUCUACACUAGAAAAAUAAAAAUGUAGUUACUGACAAAAAAGCAGGAACUACUGCUCUAAGGAAAAAAGGACAGCUACAUGAGGACCACACAACUCCUGGAAGAGGUUUCCCUGGCAACACAACUUUUCCAUUCAUCUGGUUGCAGUGUUUUCAUCCAGUAGCCUGUCACCUCACUCAAAAGCAGGGCAAUGGAGAGAAAGAAACUUACCAAGUUUUUUCUUUUAACUAGAGAGUAGCCUACUUAUUGGGCCCUGCAAUUAAUUUCAGUACUCCAGGCAGAUUUAUAAAGGAAGCUGCUGGAAGGAAUUCAUUCCCUUUUUGCUGUUCUGCCUUCCACCUUCCACUGUGUGAGGACACUGCAAGAAAGCCCUCAUCAGACACCAACUGCCAGCACCUAGAUCUUGGAAUUCUCAGCCUCCAGAACUGUGAGAAACACGUUUCUGUUUUUCUAUAAAAUAAUAAUAAUAAAAAACUUCCAUGCAGGAAAAAAAAUCAAGUUCAAAGGUCCUGUGGUGAGGGCAUACCAGCUUUGUUUGAGAAGCAGUAAUCAUGCCUGUGUGACUGUAAUGAAAGAAUAAAAGAGAAAUGAGCACAGAAGAA
ensembl:lncRNA LINC01821 long intergenic non-protein coding RNA 1821